ensembl:lncRNA novel transcript
CUUGGGAGGCUGCGUCCGCGCGCCGGCGAGGCGAGGCGGCCGGGCCCUGCGCGUCAGGCCUGAGACCUGGGAGGAAGCUGGAGAAAAGAUGCCCUCUGAAUCUUUCUGUUUGGCUGCCCAGGCUCGCCUCGACUCCAAAUGGUUGAAAACAGAUAUACAGGUGGGGUUUGACAUGUCUUUUUCUUGGUGUGUUUCUGCUUCCAUGUUUAAAUUUCUCGUGUAAGGCUUUUUUUUAGGGUAUGUAAGGGGAAGUCAGUUGUAUCUUGCUGAAUUAGAGGAGCAGGUUUAUUUCCUGUAACUUAAAAUGUAACAGUCUUAUGGCUGUUUUUGUAGAUCGUGCGCGGCUGCCUUUUAAUUAGUUUCUUGCAAGUGCACGAAACUUGAGAUCUAUUAAUAGAGAAAAUUUUUUUCCUAUUUAUUAUUACUGGUUAAGAAAUCUGCCACACUCCUAACCAUAUCAUGGUGACUGUUGUUUGUUACUGAUCGUUUUUGAGCUGUUGAGUUAACUGUGGAGGGGAAAAUUGGAGAAGUAAGUUGCAGUAAUUAUGGCCUAUAGAAACUCACUCAUUUUAUGAGGUCUUGUGUUUGUGUUUCUGGAGAGACGAGUUAGUUCAGUUGAGCUGUUUGUUUUGUCUUUGUAACUCCUUAUUAAGAGGAGUGCUCAGAUUUUCACAUCAAGAAUAUGAGGAAACAAUGUUGGCCUUAGAUCCUAAUUUUUUGAUUUAAUGAGAUAAUUGCAAGCUUGUCAGGACAUUAUUAAAUAAAUAAUAACGGUAAUAUUUCGAUAGACAGUUCUUUACACCCAAUCUACUUUUAUUUGGAAAUGGCUUGGAAAAACUACUUUUGGAACUCCUUAUCAGCAGCAAAAAGAAGUGUUUGAAAUAUUUUGUGUGUGUCUGUAUUUUCCUACUCCCUAAGGUUAACCAUUUUAAGUAUUAAGUAAUGUGCCUUGACUGUUCAUCAAAAGUCGUGUAGGCUGUUAAGCAGUAGUUGAUCAUGGAUACUUACACUGAAGUGUUAUUG